rnacentral:rRNA from 1 species
GAUGAACGCUGGCGGCGUGCCUAAUACAUGCAAGUCGAGCGAACGGACGAGAAGCUUGCUUCUCUGAUGUUAGCGGCGGACGGGUGAGUAACACGUGGAUAACCUACCUAUAAGACUGGGAUAACUUCGGGAAACCGGAGCUAAUACCGGAUGAUAUUUUGAACCGCAUGGUUCAAAAGUGAAAGACGGUCUUGCUGUCACUUAUAGAUGGAUCCGCGCUGCAUUAGCUAGUUGGUAAGGUAACGGCUUACCAAGGCAACGAUGCAUAGCCGACCUGAGAGGGUGAUAGGCCACACUGGAACUGGGACACGGUCCAGACUCCUACGGGAGGCAGCAGUAGGGAAUCUUCCGCAAUGGGCGAAAGCCUGACGGAGCAACGCCGCGUGAGUGAUGAAGGUCUUCGGAUCGUAAAACUCUGUUAUUAGGGAAGAACAUAUGUGUAAGUAACUGUGCACAUCUUGACGGUACCUAAUCAGAAAGCCACGGCUAACUACGUG